rnacentral:tRNA from 1 species
GUGUAAGGGUUAAGGGCUCAUGGGUGAUUUGAAAUCAUUUAGUUCGUGUUAGAAGCGAUACAUACUUAG